UACGGAGGGUGCAAGCGUUAUCCGGAUUCACUGGGUUUAAAGGGAGCGCAGGCGGAUUUGUAAGUCAGUGGUGAAAGCCUUAAGCUUAGCUUGGGAACUGCCAUUGAUACUAUCAGUCUUGAAUAUUGUUGAGGUUGGCGGAAUGGGUCAUGUAGCGGUGAAAUGCAUAGAUAUGACGCGGAACACCUAUUGCGAAGGCAGCAGGCUAAAUAAAGAUUGACGCUGAGGCUCGAAAGCGUGGGGAUCAAACAGG
rnacentral:rRNA from 1 species